UAUAUGGUAGGAGAGCGUUCUGUAAGCCUGCGAAGGUGUCUUGUAAAGGAUGCUGGAGGUAUCAGAAGUGCGAAUGCUGACAUGAGUAGCGAUAAUGGGAGUGAAAAGCUCCCACGCCGUAAGCCCAAGGUUUCCUGUUCAACGUUCAUCGGAGCAGGGUGAGUCGGCCCCUAAGGCGAGGCAGAGAUGCGUAGCUGAUGGGAAGCAGGUUAAUAUUCCUGCACCGUCGUAUGAUGCGAUGGGGGGACGGAUCGCGGAAGGUUGUCCAACGGUUGGAAGUGUUGGUUUUUGACUCAUAGAAGGCGCUUAGGCAAAUCCGGGCGCGCAAUUCAAGGGGUCGAGACGAGGAACUUAGGUUCUGAAGCAAUCGGAAGUGGUUCCAAGAAAAGCCUCUAAGCUUCAGUCAUACGAGACCGUACCGCAAACCGACACAGGUGGGCGAGAUGAGUAUUCUAAGGCGCUUGAGAGAACUCGGGAGAAGGAACUCGGCAAAUUGGUACCGUAACUUCGGGAAAAGGUACGCCCCGGUAGCUUGACUGCUUUACUGCAGAAGGGUGAAAGGGUUGCAAUAAACUGGUGGCUGCGACUGUUUAAUAAAAACACAGCACUCUGCAAACACGAAAGUGGACGUAUAGGGUGUGACGCCUGCCCGGUGCUGGAAGAUUAAAUGAUGGGGUGCAAGCUCUUGAUUGAAGUCCCAGUAAACGGCGGCCGUAACUAUAACGGUCCUAAGGUAGCGAAAUUCCUUGUCGGGUAAGUUCCGACCUGCACGAAUGGCGUAACGAUGGCCACACUGUCUCCUCCCGAGACUCAGCGAAGUUGAAAUGUUUGUGAUGAUGCAAUCUACCCGCGGCUAGACGGAAAGACCCCAUGAACCUUUACUGUAGCUUUGCAUUGGACUUUGAACCAAUCUGUGUAGGAUAGGUGGGAGGCUUUGAAGCGGGGACGCCAGUCUUCGUGGAGCCAUCCUUGAAAUACCACCCUGGUUUGUUUGAGGUUCUAACCUUGGUCCGUUAUCCGGAUCGGGGACAGUGCAUGGUAGGCAGUUUGACUGGGGCGGUCUCCUCCUAAAGUGUAACGGAGGAGUUCGAAGGUACGCUAGAUACGGUCGGACAUCGUGUUGAUAGUGCAAUGGCAUAAGCGUGCUUAACUGCGAGACUGACAAGUCGAGCAGGUACGAAAGUAGGACAUAGUGAUCCGGUGGUUCUGUAUGGAAGGGCCAUCGCUCAACGGAUAAAAGGUACUCUGGGGAUAACAGGCUGAUUCCUCCCAAGAGUUCAUAUCGACGGGGGAGUUUGGCACCUCGAUGUCGGCUCAUCACAUCCUGGGGCUGUAGCCGGUCCCAAGGGUAUGGCUGUUCGCCAUUUAAAGUGGUACGUGAGCUGGGUUUAAAACGUCGUGAGACAGUUUGGUCCCUAUCUGCCGUGGGCGUUGGAAAUUUGAAGGGGGCUGCUCCUAGUACGAGAGGACCGGAGUGGACAGACCUCUGGUGUACCGGUUGUCACGCCAGUGGCAUUGCCGGGUAGCUAAGUCUGGAAGAGAUAACCGCUGAAAGCAUCUAAGCGGGAAACUUGCCUUGAGAUGAGAUUUCCCAGAGCCUUGAGCUCUUUAAAGGGUCGUUCGAGACCAGGACGUUGAUAGGUCAGGUGUGGAAGUGCAGUAAUGCAUUAAGCUAACUGAUACUAAUUGCCCGUACGGCUUGUCCCU
rnacentral:rRNA from 1 species